rnacentral:rRNA from 1 species
ACUCCUACGGGAGGCAGCAGUGGGGAAUAUUGCACAAUGGGCGCAAGCCUGAUGCAGCAACGCCGCGUGAGGGAUGAAGGCCUUCGGGUUGUAAACCUCUUUUAGCAGGGAAGAAGCGAAAGUGACGGUACCUGCAGAAAAAGCACCGGCUAACUACGUGCCAGCAGCCGCGGUAAUACGGAGGGUUCAAGCGUUGUUCGGAAUUACUGGGCGUAAAGAGCGCGUAGGCGGCGCAGACAGUCAGAUGUGAAAGCCCUGGGCUCAACCCGGGAGGUGCAUUUGAUACUACUGUGCUAGAGUACCGAAGAGGUGAGUGGAAUUCCUAGUGUAGAGGUGAAAUUCGUAGAUAUUAGGAGGAACACCAGUGGCGAAGGCGGCUCACUGGUCGGUAACUGACGCUAAGGCGCGAAAGCGUGGGGAGCAAACAGGAUUAGAUACCCUGGUAGGUCAGUC